rnacentral:rRNA from 1 species
CAGUCGCCGCGGUAAUACGUAGGGGGCGAGCGUUGUCCGAAGUUACUGGGCGUAAAGCGCGCGUAGGCGGCUUCUUAAGUCUGAGGUGAAAGGUUCAACGCUUAACGUGAACAGUGCCUUGGAUACUGGGGAGCUUGAGUAUGGGAGAGGGCAGUGGAAUGGCUGGUGUAGCGGUGAAAUGCGUAGAUAUCAGUCGGAACACCCAUGGCGAAGGCAGCUGCCUGGCCUAAUACUGACGCUGAGGUGCGAAAGCGUGGGGAGCGAACGGGAUUAGAUACCCCCGUAGUCCCUGUCUCUUAUA